rnacentral:tRNA from 1 species
GCCUUCGUGGUGUAGUGGUCAACACGCUCGACGCGUAUUUGAAGGGUCCGUGGUUCGAAUCCCGCCGAGAGCA